GGAUCCCCACGGGGUCAAACUUCUAAAGAACAAAACAUGGAAGAUACUGGAUAGAAUACAACAGGUUGGAUGGGGCCAGUUGCUCUCCCCCUGCUAAAUAUAAGAGAAUCGUCACUUUAAAAGAGCAUACAAAGAAAAUACCCCAGUGGUUCUACAAUACGCUCAGGACUCUAAAGUCUGACAUUCUCCAGCUCUUGUGCUCUGCUUUUAUUUUUUAAUUCCCAGAACUGGUUCAAAGUCCUAGAAAUUUUCCUAUGGCUUUUUAACACCCAAUGUUCCUUAUACAAAUAAUUAUGAUCAUAAUAAAAUACAAAAUGUUGUGGCUC